rnacentral:misc_RNA from 1 species
AAUUCUCAACUUCAAAAGCUUUUGUUUUUGAAGCUUGGAUGUGGAGGCCUGCUGGCUCUUCUAGAGUCGGCUCCUCUGAAAUGCAUUAGUGGAAACUGUUUGUAGUCCGCAUUGGUGUGAUAAUUAUCUACGCUUCUGUGUGUCUACAGCUCUGUAGUGCUCGUUUGGGAAGCUGCAUUAAGUUGCUCUUUCUGUUCACAAUGACCUGCAUGAGUCUAGUAUCUGCUUCAAACCGUCCUAAGUUACUGGACAACUUUGAACC